AGAGUUUGAUCAUGGCUCAGAUUGAACGCUGGCGGCAGGCCUAACACAUGCAAGUCGAACGGUAACAGGAAGCAGCUUGCUGCUUUGCUGACGAGUGGCGGACGGGUGAGUAAUGUCUGGGAAACUGCCUGAUGGAGGGGGAUAACUACUGGAAACGGUAGCUAAUACCGCAUAAUGUCGCAAGACCAAAGAGGGGGACCUUCGGGCCUCUUGCCAUCGGAUGUGCCCAGAUGGGAUUAGCUUGUUGGUGGGGUAACGGCUCACCAAGGCGACGAUCCCUAGCUGGUCUGAGAGGAUGACCAGCCACACUGGAACUGAGACACGGUCCAGACUCCUACGGGAGGCAGCAGUGGGGAAUAUUGCACAAUGGGCGCAAGCCUGAUGCAGCCAUGCCGCGUGUAUGAAGAAGGCCUUCGGGUUGUAAAGUACUUUCAGCGGGGAGGAAGGGAGUAAAGUUAAUACCUUUGCUCAUUGACGUUACCCGCAGAAGAAGCACCGGCUAACUCCGUGCCAGCAGCCGCGGUAAUACGGAGGGUGCAAGCGUUAAUCGGAAUUACUGGGCGUAAAGCGCACGCAGGCGGUUUGUUAAGUCAGAUGUGAAAUCCCCGGGCUCAACCUGGGAACUGCAUCUGAUACUGGCAAGCUUGAGUCUCGUAGAGGGGGGUAGAAUUCCAGGUGUAGCGGUGAAAUGCGUAGAGAUCUGGAGGAAUACCGGUGGCGAAGGCGGCCCCCUGGACGAAGACUGACGCUCAGGUGCGAAAGCGUGGGGAGCAAACAGGAUUAGAUACCCUGGUAGUCCACGCCGUAAACGAUGUCGACUUGGAGGUUGUGCCCUUGAGGCGUGGCUUCCGGAGCUAACGCGUUAAGUCGACCGCCUGGGGAGUACGGCCGCAAGGUUAAAACUCAAAUGAAUUGACGGGGGCCCGCACAAGCGGUGGAGCAUGUGGUUUAAUUCGAUGCAACGCGAAGAACCUUACCUGGUCUUGACAUCCACGGAAGUUUUCAGAGAUGAGAAUGUGCCUUCGGGAACCGUGAGACAGGUGCUGCAUGGCUGUCGUCAGCUCGUGUUGUGAAAUGUUGGGUUAAGUCCCGCAACGAGCGCAACCCUUAUCCUUUGUUGCCAGCGGUCCGGCCGGGAACUCAAAGGAGACUGCCAGUGAUAAACUGGAGGAAGGUGGGGAUGACGUCAAGUCAUCAUGGCCCUUACGACCAGGGCUACACACGUGCUACAAUGGCGCAUACAAAGAGAAGCGACCUCGCGAGAGCAAGCGGACCUCAUAAAGUGCGUCGUAGUCCGGAUUGGAGUCUGCAACUCGACUCCAUGAAGUCGGAAUCGCUAGUAAUCGUGGAUCAGAAUGCCACGGUGAAUACGUUCCCGGGCCUUGUACACACCGCCCGUCACACCAUGGGAGUGGGUUGCAAAAGAAGUAGGUAGCUUAACCUUCGGGAGGGCGCUUACCACUUUGUGAUUCAUGACUGGGGUGAAGUCGUAACAAGGUAACCGUAGGGGAACCUGCGGUUG
rnacentral:rRNA from 1 species